GGAAAAUAAAAGAAAUCCCGCAGCCAGGCACGGGAAAAACACUUCAGCGAACAAGAGAGAUCAAAGGAAAUCAGCUGAAAACAAUGUUCCAGUGUUUUGAAAUUUCCCUUGUGCUUACACAAUAAUAGCCUACUGGGUUAGACAGCCUGACAGGAAAUCUGGCAUCAGGUUAAAGUUUAAAUAGAAGCUAUUUGCUGUCCAGCAGUAAUACAUGGAUUGGAUAAACUGAGACUAGAUAGCGUUUAAGCUUGCCUUCAAAAUGUCGAAUUAAUUCCUCAGGUAGGACAGACACCUGCUACAUAUUCAGUUUAUUCUGAUUGCUCCAUGUGUGAGACACUUGGUGAGUGCUUUUCUCCAGGCACCUGCUAUGAAUAUAUUAACAUUCACAAAGUGUGUCCCCUUCUUCUCCGUGUGAUCACCACUGUCUUGUGAGGAGACAGCUCAUCUGUUCGGGGUGCCACGUUAAAGGCCGGACACUUGUUGGGUUUUGGUUGGCUCCGUCUGCUUCAGGAUCUUAAAAUGGCUUCUGGACAGAUAUUCAUGGAGGCGUUCCUUAACAUUUCUAGGGUUGCUGUACGUUAAUGCAGUACAGUCAAUUGAAAGGUUGUAGAUCUGAAUGCACGAAAUCAAAGGCCGUGAACGGUCUACACUGUGCUUUUGAAUACAACUUUUAAAAGCUGUAGAUAUUUCGUAUGAGAGAGGGGUCUUGGUUGAGAGGAGUGGCACCUGGUGUGGUUUUCUGCUACUGUAGUCCAUCUGCUUCAAGGUUUGUGCAUCGGUAAAAAAAUAGAACUAGAUAUUUUCUCAAAUACUAAAUAAAAGCUAUUUUCUUUAAACUACAUAAACCCCUUGUCAGACCAACAAAAUAAGUGUUGUCCUAAUUAGUCAAACACAGUUAUCUGAUCAAAGAUUUUCACGUUGUUGAAAUGUUAAGGCUUUGUGAGCUCCCAGCAUGCAUUGCAGCAUGAAUAAAUUACGCAGUUACUGUUAUAGGAUUAUUGUUUUGCCGUUUGCUAACUUUUCUGUUGUUUUAUCAUUAUUGUUAGGUAUUUGUUGUACUGUCUCAUCUUUUUAACAUUUGUUGAUUGCCACCGUUCUUGAUGUUAGUUUGUCAAGUUUUCAGGCCUAGAAUAUGUUCAACCACUUAUCCAUUUUUUGGAUAUCUUAGUUUGUAAGUUGUC